CAAAAUCACACACCCCCACACCUGUCUUCUUCCAUAGUGAGCCACGCUACCCCCUCCGUCACUCACUUAUCAUAAACACACACACCCCAUACAAAAACUGAUGCACACUCAUAAAUAAGAAAAAGGGAGAAGGGAGAAUCAAGAGAGGAGAAGAGAAUGCAAGGGAGAGAGGACGGCGUCGCUGUCGCACACGGAGGAAGGAGAGGGAGACGCGCCGCCACUGUGCGUCGUCGCCGUCAUCGAAGCCAGAGGAGAAAGUGCUGCGAGCCAGGGACGACGCGAGGAAGGAGAGGAGCCGUCGCGCUCGGCCGCUGCCAGCUCCGUCGCAUCCUGCGCCGCGCCAUCGCCACCCAGACCGCGUCCGUUCUGUUCAGCCACCGCCGCUGCGUCCGAUCGGAGCCCUAGCCACCGGAACCCCUACCGUCACCGUUGCAUGUGAGAGGAGGAGAUGACGUUGCCGAUUCUGAUUCUGCCCAAGUCGCUCAUCGUCACUGGAAUCACGAACCAGAGGAGGAAGGAGGCGUUCCUCCAUCGCCAGCCAGCCACCAAGCUUUGACCAAAUUGGAGACGUUGUUUCUAUUACCUUCCGUUUUGAGUCAUUAUUGUCAUUGUUAGGCGUUUCCGCCCUUGUUUAGAGCUAUUGAAUGUUUCUGCUGCGAGAAUAUUACUAGAAUCGCUGCUGCUGCCACGAAUUGGGGAUAAAGGGGAUUCCUGCAUCAAAUCCUGCUAUUGCGACGUCGAGGUAGGGGAUUUGUUUUAAAAGUAAAGGUUUUAACUUAUGAAUGCCACUAAAAUUAAAUGAGUAACAGCAAAUGGUUUAUGGUUGCUUUGUGUGAAUAAUUGACGGAAUUGAGUUGAAUUAUAACUGUAGUUGGUGAUUGAUUUGA